UACGUAGGUGGCAAGCGUUGUCCGGAAUUAUUGGGCGUAAAGCGCGCGCAGGCGGCCUUUUAAGUCUGAUGUGAAAGCCCACGGCUCAACCGUGGAAGGUCAUUGGAAACUGAAAGGCUUGAGUACAGAAGAGGAAAGCGGAAUUCCACGUGUAGCGGUGAAAUGCGUAGAGAUGUGGAGGAACACCAGUGGCGAAGGCGGCAUCCUGGACCGACAUUGACGCUGAUGAGCGAAAGCUAGGGGAGCAAACGGG
rnacentral:rRNA from 1 species